ACCCAUUAAAAAGUGGGGAGUUCAAGCUACUGUUCCUUAGUAACAGUGCUUUGACGUCCAUGCCCUUUACACCCCACAUAACCACUUCCCUGCCCUCCCUUUACCACGUUCUUUUUUCCCCCUCCGGUUUUUCCUCUGAACCCUCCAUCUUCAUCCUCCUCAAUCCUCCUUAACCUAGAUAAUUCCCCUUCAUUUUCAACCAACGCCUCCUACUUUCCUCUCCAUUCUCACUUUCUCAAUCUUCUCUGUCUUUCUCCUCACCAUUUUUUCUAUCUCUUCUUUUUCGUUUUAGGCUUUGGUGCAAGAACAAUUCAAGCGGUGGGACUAGGAGCCAUGAAAUCAGUGAGCAAAUGAAGAUCUUCGAAUGAAGCAAUUCAUCUUCGACUAGCGCCUCCUGCUGUCCCUGUUCAGACAUUCGACAGUAAGACAGUUCAUAAUCGACCAUGAAAUUGAAGAAUUUGAAGCAAAAUUAGCAUACCACAUCUUCAUCGCCUCUUCCUUUUCCACCUCUAACCUUUUGGUCCUUUGUGAUACGGUUUUCCGGCGAACCGUUCAUUUGCUUCUCUUUUCCAGAAAUUUCGGGAGAAUCGUUCCAGAAAAUUUUCGAGCUCCGAAUCACUAAGAAUUUGUCCCAAAUUCACUGGUUAGUCCUGAUGUAAUUUUGCCAUUUAAUUGGGAAAUUCCUACAAUGGUGCUGCACUUCCUUCGAUUGCAUCAAUUGCGAUUCUGACCUAAUGCUCUGCGACCUAUGCUUUAUUAAAUUAUCAGUGAUUCGAUUUUUUCAAUCAUCCAAGUGUUCCUGGAAUUUAUUGGCUCAGACAUAAUUUACAGAUUUUUCUCUUCACUUGGAUGGAACCUCUUUAGGGUUUUGUGAGAACAAGCUUCCAAGAUCUCUAAUGGCAGACGAUGAAUACGAUGAUUUGGAGAUGGGUGACCAUGGGACCGACGUUUGCUUUGCAGCUCUUUGUGAAACCUCAAAAUUAUAAGGAUGGCAAGUAGUGUGAAUGAUAUUGGAGUCAUAUGGAUUCCUCGUACUGUUGAGGGUCCUCGUUUGCAUCAUGAAGAUGUAAUGAAAGCACCUAAAGAGAGUGUGAAUGGGGUUGUUCUUUGAAUGAUGAGAAGAGGGAAUUUGGCAAGGAUCAUUGUAGUACAUCCCGUGGUAAAGAUGUCUACGAAGUUAUGCUUAAUAUCUCUACUAAUAAAAUUAGGCACUCUGUUGAGGACGGCUCACACUCAUUGAGUCAGACUCGAGUUGUUUUUUCAUUGGAUUCUAUUGAAGGAGAACACGUUGGUGGCUCUGACAAUAGUUUGCAAAGUGAAAUGAAUAUAUAACUACAAGUGGUGCACCUUGCUUAUUAGGGAAAGCACAGGAACUACCUACAUUACAUCCUUCAACGAGGCUGUAACUUAUACACUGUUCAAUGCAGAAUUCUUUCUGCAAUCAUUUUCAGUUGUUCAGUUGAAUUGGUAGUUUUGGCUUUGUGGAAGAAGGCAUUACGAAUUUGCAACUCUUGGCUGCCACGAAGUGGUCUAUCCGAUAGCUCUUCAGGAAAGAAGUCCACUGGUAAAGGAGCUGCAAGUUCUUCCUUAGAAACGGAAGACACCACAGACUUCAUGAAUCCUUCCUCGGUAUCUAUCUGGGCCGAGCAAGGCUUUAUUAAUGCAUAUGAUGGAACAGAAAAGCUAUUCAAGUAUCUGCAGGACUUGUAUUGUAAAUUUUAUUUUGGGAUUAUUUUAUUGAAAACUAAACAUUUAUCUUAUAAACCAAAUCUAUAAACCAUUUUCUCUC